UAUUGAUUGAAUGAAAACGUGAGUAUUGAUUGUGUAGAAGUGGCUCGAUUAUAUCUCGGCUUCUCUGCUCUUCGAUCCGAGACGACGAAGAGGUAGAGUCGAUGAGAAUCUCGUUUCACCGACGGAUUCUUCAAGUUUUCAUCAAAACGACACAAAACAACACAGAACUCGGGGAAGCCCAGAACACUAUGGUUAAGCCCACAACACUUCGAUGAAGCCCACAACACUUCCCACAAACCCACACCGCGAGCCCGGGAUGACGUGUCAAAAGCGACGUUUCUGAUUGGCCGGAAUUAACAGUCCGACGUGGACAUGCUAGAAUCUCUCCAUAUCUUGCUUUUAGUAUUGUAGAUAUAGAUUGAAAUUCGAAACUGAAACGCGAUACUACAUGUAUUCGUUUAUAUAUAUAUAGCGACUAACUCUAAUAAAACUAAAAUAAAAUUUAAUAGCCGGAUAAUAAAAUACGGCCAGUAAAUUGUGGGAACCGAAAUUCACACUGUCGAUUUUCGUUUAAAUAAGGAAACUAGGAAAACCCUAAUUUCCCAGAGGACCCGGAUAUCUGCUAAUUACCACACGUCAAGCAAUCAGAACACGAGAAUAACAACGAUAAAG